UGAAGUCAAUAGAUUGCACAUUGUUUCUUCCAACUCAUAAUUAUUUUGAAACUUUUUAGGACACACGGUAAUUGGUUCGAAAUAUCACAAUCCCGUGUAAGUUAAGCGAAACUAAAAAGAGAGUUGCACAUUGAACAUACGCAUCUUGUUAGGAUAAAGAAGUAAAGAACAUUCGGUAAAUAAGAAUUAAUAAUCUGAAAAACUUAGAAAACAAGAAAUGGUAGGCUAUGAUGUUGUUUUGAAAUGUGGCAAACGGAUUCCGAAAACACAUAAUACAUAAAUUUUGACUGAAUGUAAUUUCGUGUCUGAGCAUGGUUUAUUUAAUUCUAGUUUUCACAAGUUUCGGUUUUUUCUUAGCUACUGAAAAUUCUCUUUGUAUUUAUAAAUGUGAGAUCCAUCUCUAAGCAGUUUGAAUGCGUCCAUGAGUAUUUUUUUAAAAAGCUAUACUUGUUUCAUACAUAGGACAUCUAAACACAAUGU
rnacentral:sRNA from 1 species